rfam:Salmo salar isolate Sally breed double haploid chromosome ssa04, whole genome shotgun sequence.
UGGCUCAGUUGGUAGAGCAUGGUGUUUGCAACGCCAGCAUGAUGUGUGCUCCGCCAGGGUUGUGGGUUCGAUUCCCAC